rnacentral:tRNA from 1 species
UAGAGGGGGGUACGGUGGGGUACUGGGGUUUUUGAUUCCUCAAGCGCAGGUUCGAGUCCUGUCCCUUUAA